rnacentral:rRNA from 1 species
AUGUCUCGCUUCGGGCGCUCCGGCCCGCCGCCGAUCCGCGACACCUACUCCCUCCUCGUCCUCAACAUCACCUUCCGUACGACGGCCGAUGACCUUUUCCCGCUCUUCGACAAGUACGGCGAGGUCGUCGACAUCUACAUCCCCAGGGACCGCAGGACUGGCGACUCGCGAGGGUUUGCCUUUGUGAGGUACAAGUAUGAGGACGAGGCCCAGAAGGCAGUUGAUCGCCUGGACGGGAGGUUGGUGGACGGGAGGGAGAUGAUGGUGCAGUUUGCCAAGUACGGCCCAAAUGCUGAGCGGAUUCAGAAAGGGCGAAUCAUGGAAACGGUCCCGAAGCCAAGGGGUCGUUCCAGAAGCCGCAGUCCAAGACGGGGGUACCGUGAUGAUCAUCGGGGCAGAGAUUCUAGAAGGCGAAGUCGGAGUCGGAGUGGAGAUAGAUAUGGACGUGACAGGUACAGAGAGAGGGAUCAUCAUCGUCGUAGCAGGAGUCGUAGCACUAGCCCUGAUGAUUACAAGAGGCGUGGCAGAGACAGAAGUCCUAGUCGUAGCAGGAGCCGCAGCUACAGCCCUGAUGAUGACAGGAAGGGUGGCAGAGACAGUUUGUCGCCUGCACGCAGAAGCACUAGUCGCUCCCCUCGCAAGACACCACCUCCUCGCGAGGGGUCUCCUGCUAAGCGCAAUGAUGAUCGAUCUCCUGCUAAGCGCAAUGAUGACCGUUCUCCUGUUAGGCGCAAUGAUGACCGUUCUCCUGUUAGGCGCAAUGAUGACCGUUCUCCUGUUAGGCGCAAUGAUGACCGGUCUCCAGACUCUCGUAGCCCUUCAACAUGA